AACGAACGCUGGCGGCAUGCCUAACACAUGCAAGUCGAACGAGACCUUCGGGUCUAGUGGCGCACGGGUGCGUAACGCGUGGGAAUCUGCCCUUCGGUUGGGAAUAACUGAGAGAAAUUUCAGCUAAUACCUUAUAAUGUCUUCGGACCAAAGAUUUAUCGCCGAGGGAUGAGCCCGCGUAGGAUUAGCUAGUUGGUGGGGUAAUGGCCUACCAAGGCGACGAUCCUUAGCUGGUCUGAGAGGAUGAUCAGCCACACUGGGACUGAGACACGGCCCAGACUCCUACGGGAGGCAGCAGUGGGGAAUAUUGGACAAUGGGCGAAAGCCUGAUCCAGCAAUGCCGCGUGAGUGAUGAAGGCCUUAGGGUUGUAAAGCUCUUUUACCCGGGAUGAUAAUGACAGUACCGGGAGAAUAAGCUCCGGCUAACUCCGUGCCAGCCGCCGCUGUAA
rnacentral:rRNA from 1 species